rnacentral:rRNA from 1 species
AGUUUGAUCAUGGCUCAGAUUGAACGCUGGCGGGAUGUACUACACAUGCGAAAUCAGGCAACCUUUACGGACUUCGGUCUGGUGGCGAGUGGCGAACGGGUGAGUAAUGUAUCGGAACGUGCCUAGUAGCGGGGGAUAACUACGCAAGCGUAGCUAAUACCGCAUACGCCCUUCGGGGGAAAGCGGGGGACCUUCGGGCCUCGCACUAAUGCGGCGGCCGAUAUCGGAUUAGCUAGUUGGUGGGGUAACGGCUCACCAAGGCGACGAUCCGUAGCUGGUUUGAGAGGACGACCAGCCACACUGGGACUGAGACACGGCCCAGACUCCUACGGGAGGCAGCAGUGGGGAAUUUUGGACAAUGGGGAAACCCUGAUCCAGCCAUCCCGCGUGUGCGAUGAAGGCCUUCGGGUUGUAAAGCACUUUUGGCAGGAAAGAAACGGCACGGGAUAAUACCCCGUGCAAUGACGGUACCUGCAGAAUAAGCACCGGCUAACUACGUGCCAGCAGCCGCGGUAAUACGUAGGGUGCAAGCGUUAAUCGGAAUUACUGGGCGUAAAGCGUGCGCAGGCGGUUCGGAAAAGAAAGAUGUAAAAAUCAGGCUUAACUUUGGAACUGCAUUUUUAACUACCGAGCUAGAGUGUGUCAGAGGAGGUGGAAUUCCGCGUGUAGCAGUGAAAUGCGUAGAUAUGCGGAGGAACACCGAUGGCGAAGGCAACCUCCUGGGAUAACACUGACGCUCAUGAAAACGUGGGGAGCAAACAGGAUUAGAUACCCUGGUAGUCCACGCCCUAAACGAUGUCAACUAGCUGUUGGGGCCUUCGGGCCUUGGUAGCGCAGCUAACGCGUGAAGUUGACCGCCUGGGGGAAGUACCGGUCGCAAGAUUAAAACUCAAAGGAAUUGACGGGGACCCGCACAAGCGGUGGAUGAUGUGGAUUAAUUCGAUGCAACGCGAAAAACCUUACCUACCCUUGACAUGUCUGGAAUCCCGAAGAGAUUUGGGAGUGCUCGCAAGAGAACCGGAGCACAGGUGCUGCAUGGCUGUCGUCAGCAGCUCGUGUCGUGAGAUGUUGGGUUAAGUCCGCAACGAGCGCAACCCUUGUCAUUAGUUGCUACGAAGGGCACUCUAAUGAGACUGCCGGUGACAAACCGGAGGAAGGUGGGGAUGACGUCAAGUCCUCAUGGCCCUUAUGGGUAGGGCUUCACACGUCAUACAAUGGUCGGGACAGAGGGUCGCCAACCCGCGAGGAGCCAAUCCCAGAAACCCGAUCGUAGUCCGGAUCGCAGUCUGCAACUCGACUGCGUGAAGUCGGAAUCGCUAGUAAUCGCGGAUCAGCAUGUCGCGGUGAAUACGUUCGGGUCUUGUACACCGCCCGUCACACCAUGGGAGUGGGUUUUACCAGAAGUAGUUAGCCUAACCGUAAGGAGGCGAUUACCACGGUAGGAUUCAUGACUGGGGUACAGUCGUAACAAGGUAA